AUUGAACGCUGGCGACAGGCUUAACACAUGCAAGUCGAGCGGAGAUGAGGUGCUUGCACCUUAUCUUAGUGGCGGACGGGUGAGUAAUGCUUAGGAAUCUGCCUAUUAGUGGGGGACAACAUUCCGAAAGGAAUGCUAAUACCGCAUACGUCCUACGGGAGAAAGCAGGGGAUCUUCGGACCUUGCGCUAAUAGAUGAGCCUAAGUCGGAUUAGCUAGUUGGUGGGGUAAAGGCCUACCAAGGCGACGAUCUGUAGCGGGUCUGAGAGGAUGAUCCGCCACACUGGGACUGAGACACGGCCCAGACUCCUACGGGAGGAAGCAGUGGGGAGUAUUGGACAAUGGGGGGAACCCUGAUCCAGCCAUGCCGCGUGUGUGAAGAAGGCCUUAUGGUUGUAAAGCACUUUAAGCGAGGAGGAGGCUACUGAGACUAAUACUCUUGGAUAGUGGACGUUACUCGCAGAAUAAGCACCGGCUAACUCUGUGCCAGCCGCCGCGGUAACAC
rnacentral:rRNA from 1 species